rfam:Cyanobacteria bacterium 13_1_20CM_4_61_6 13_1_20cm_4_scaffold_252222, whole genome shotgun sequence.
GCGCCUGUAGCUCAAUUGGCAGAGCAGCGGAUUUAUAUCCCGUCGCCGCGAGGCACGCCCCGGAUAAGGGGCUGGUUGUGGGUUCGAGUCCCACCAGGCGCA